ACGGAAGGCAGCAGUGGGGAAUAUUGGGCAAUGGGCGCAAGCCUGACCCAGCGACGCCGCGUGAGGGAAGAAGGUCUUCGGAUUGUAAACCUCUUUCAGCAGGGAAGACCAAGAGACGGUACCUGCAGAAGAAGUCACGGCUAACUACGUGCCAGCAGCCGCGGUAAUACGUAGGUGGCGAGCGUUAUCCGGAAUUACUGGGUGUAAAGGGUGUGUAGGCGGAGAAGCAAGUCAGGCGUGAAACUUAUGGGCUCAACCCAUAAACUGCGCUUGAAACUGUUUCCCUUGAGAGUGGGAGAGGUUAACGGAAUUCCUGGUGUAGUAGUGAAAUGCGUAGAUAUCAGGAGGAACGCCGGUGGCGAAGGCGGUUAACUGGACCACAACUGACGCUGAGACACGAAAGCGUGGGGAGCAAACAGGAUUAGAUACCCUGGUA
rnacentral:rRNA from 1 species